UACGGAGGGGGCAAGCGUUGUUCGGAAUUACUGGGCGUAAAGGGCGCGCAGGCGGCUGCUCAAGUCAGGCGUGAAAGGCCUGGGCUCAACCCGGGAAUUGCGCUUGAGACUGGGCUGGCUUGAGUGCGGGAGAGGAUGGUGGAAUUCCCAGUGUAGAGGUGAAAUUCGUAGAUAUGGGGAGGAACACCGGUGGCGAAGGCGGCCAUCUGGACGGAUACUGACGCUGAGACGCGAAAGCGUGGGGAGCAAACAGG
rnacentral:rRNA from 1 species